rnacentral:lncRNA from 1 species
AUUUUAUUAAUUUUGUAUUGGUAGGAGUGACAUGGUCCAGCAAGCUGAACUGCCAGGUGGUAAAUUUUAUUGAUUUUUUUUUAUUUCCUAGUACUCCAGGUUUCCAGACAACUGAGGUAGAUAACAUCACAAGUUCAGGAUGCCUUUCUGCUCAAGUCAGUUAUGAUGCAGUGCUUCAUCCUGAAAGAUAGCUCUGAUGGAUCUGUGAUCAAGUCAGAUUCAUAUGGCUAUUCAGAUUGCCAUCAGAGCCUUUGUGAGAGCAGAAUGUCAUCUUGGAAACCAAGACCUUCAACCAGUACUGAACAGUUUUGAUGGGAGAUUCCGGCCUCCCUUCCAAAAUAGCAGUAGCUACUGCAAGUGAGGGGUUGCUGCUUGGGGGAGAGGAACAACCCUCUGGUUGCCACAGAAUCACUCCGUAGCAGCAGUGACUUCAGGCUAUGGUCUCUCCCAGCAUAUCUUACUUAGCCCAGGAUUAUUCUAAACCUAAAAACAAAAUGAAAAUGCAUCUGUGCAUGCUUGAUGGCUCCUAAGUCUUACCUGUGGCCAGUUGUGUGUGAUAGAAACUUAAGUACUUUAAGUACUUUUUGUUUUAGGUAAAGAAGCAAACGGUGAAGUCAAGGUGCAAACCAAGCUGGAGUGAGAAAUACCAAGGAAUCACAGCCAGUUUUGCAAGCAUUUUUUCUCUUGCUCUGGAAGGGAUAUGAGUGGCAGUAUAACACCUGUCCAAAAAAAAAAAAAAAAAAAAAAAAGUAAACAUGCAUCCUCAGAGUCCAUUAUUCACAUAAAUAAAAGUUUGAAGGCCCUGUGCUACACGAUCCUAUUUUUAUUACAAUUAUGAUAUGUUGUGGCCAACUUGCUUCUCCACAGGGUGCCCAGGCCCUGCUAGCCCCCGAACCACACGUCACAGGGGGGUUAUUUUUUCCCCAAACAGGGAUCUUGAUCCGGAGCGAUCGGCAUGAAGCAGGCCGUGUCCCUGGGGAUGUGCGGGGCGGCCGGCCCAGGCAGGAUCAGGGCAGUGCCUGUCUGAUGGAAACCUCCAGAAUGAACGGGCUUCUGUUCCUUGCUGCAAG